rnacentral:rRNA from 1 species
UUUCGCAAUGCCCGAAAGGGUGACGAAGCGACGCCGCGUGAGUGAGGAAGGCCUUCGGGUUGUAAAGCUCUGUCAGGAGUUAAGAAAUAUAAGUGUGCUAAUACCACAUUUAUUUGACAAAAGCUCCAAAGGAAGCCACGGCUAACUCUGUGCCAGCAGCCGCGGUAAUACAGAGGUGGCAAGCGUUGUUCGGAAUUAUUGGGCGUAAAGAGCACGUAGGUGGGUUUGUAAGUCAGGUGUGAAAGCCUUCUGUUCAAAGGAAGAACGGCAUCUGAAACUACAGAUCUUGAGUGUAGGAGGGGAGAGUGGAACUUCUGGUGGAGCGGUGAAAUGCGUAGAUAUCAGAAGGAACGUCGGCGGCGAAAGCGACUCUCUGGCCUAUUACUGACACUGAGGUGCGAAAGUUAGGGGAGCAAACGGGAUUAGAUACCCCGGUAGUCCUAACCGUAAACGAUGGGCACUAAGUAGAGGGGUUUUA